UAGGGAAUCUUCCGCAAUGGGCGAAAGCCUGACGGAGCAACGCCGCGUGAGUGAUGAAGGUCUUCGGAUCGUAAAACUCUGUUAUUAGGGAAGAACAAAUGUGUAAGUAACUAUGCACGUCUUGACGGUACCUAAUCAGAAAGCCACGGCCAACUACGUGCCAGCAGCCGCGGUAAUACGUAGGUGGCAAGCGUUAUCCGGAAUUAUUGGGCGUAAAGCGCGCGUAGGCGGUUUUUUAAGUCUGAUGUGAAAGCCCACGGCUCAACCGUGGAGGGUCAUUGGAAACUGGAAAACUUGAGUGCAGAAGAGGAAAGUGGAAUUCCAUGUGUAGCGGUGAAAUGCGCAGAGAUAUGGAGGAACACCAGUGGCGAAGGCGACUUUCUGGUCUGUAACUGACGCUGAUGUGCGAAAGCGUGGGAAUCAAACAGG
rnacentral:rRNA from 1 species